AAGAAGAAGAAGAAGAAGAAGAAGAAGAAAUGAACCAGUCACUGCCCUUUCUUGGGGCAAAGAAGUUUGUGCACAUGCGUGCAAGUGCCUGCAGAGGCCAGACAGGUGUUGGAGGCCCCUGGAGCUAGAGUUACAGCUGGCUGGGAGUUGCUUGAUGGAAGCAUUGGGAGCCGAACUCCAGUCAUCUUCAAGAGCAUCAAGCACUCUGAUCAUUGAGCCGUCUCUCCAACUCCAGGAAUGGGAGUCUUGAUCUUGGAUGCAGGUUCCAGGGGAACUCUCAGGUGGGUUGUUUGGGGUAAAGAGUUUAUUAAAAGAGUUAUUUAUGCUAUACAGACAGACAGACAGACAGCAGUGUGGUGGAGGCUCUGAGGAGAGUUUGAGCCUGAACACCAGCUGGACAGAAAGAUGGGAGCUCUGGGGAGGAAUCAGGACCCACAAAGCAUUAGUGGGGGCUUUUUCUCAAAGCUCCCGAGGAAGGGGUGGUUUCACGGUAGGAUCCUUCAGACAGAUCCUAGACAGAGACAUCAAAAUAAAUGGGGGGUAGGGUAUGUGGCCACCCACCCUUUUGGUGUAAACUGACCCCGCCCCCAGGUGAGAAACCCUGAUCCCUGGAAGUCUGCUAACUGGAUAACUCACAGAAGCCACAGUAGGAUGUUUCUUGGUUUCUGUGAGACCAGAAGGCCUGCAGAAGUUACUGUGACCUGAGCAGUAUUUGGUGUAGAUUGUAACAUUACAAUCUUACACUUGGAAUAGCAUUCCUCCACUCCUGGACCACCUCUGUCUUCAGAGAACAAUGUGGCAGUGUGGUUUAUGGUGAGCUUUUGCAUCUUAUCAUCAAGACCCCAAGCAUCACUGAUCAUAUCUGGACUUACAAAUUUCUUGUGCACACCUCCCCUAGAGUUCAGGACUCAUUGCAGAAGAAGAAACAGAAAGAUUGUGAGAGUCUGAGGGAGAGGACAUUUGCAGCAAAAGAAUAUUAGACAGACAUGAUAAGGUCACUGUACACAGGAACUCACCACUGUGACAGAAUGCACAGGACCUGCAACAAGAUCAAGCCAGACAAAAUUCCAGCAUGGAUGGAGAAGGGGCUUGUGAAGUCCCACCCCUAUCUGAGAAGCUAUUGGUGACUGAUGGCUGCUAGAGGAG
rnacentral:lncRNA from 1 species